rnacentral:lncRNA from 1 species
UUGGGAGAUGAAGAGGUGAAAAAAACCACUACAUAUAAAACAAGCAUAGCAUAUGAACAUUUGCUUCCCGGCCAGGAAUAUAUAAUAUCUGUGGAGGUUUUAACCUGUGGUAAGAAGACCAAUACUUCAAUGACGGUUCAGACAGCAUCCAAAAACUUCAAAGGACAAACCAGGUUGAUAGAUAAAGUGUUCAACCCUCAGUACAGAAACAAAUCAAGUACAGCAUUUAAAGAUUUUGAAAAGAAUUUCACUGAUGAGAUAGGGGAAAAAUUGACAGGCGAGUUCAAAAACUUAUUUGACAUGCGGAAAUUGCGUAUAGUAAUUAACAAUCUUAGCAAUGGCAGUGUGACUGUGCUCUUCAACAUGGUGAUGCCUGUGCAACAAAACUUAACACAAACAACGGUCUUCGAUGCUUUAAUAAAAGCCCUGAACAAAAGCGCUCUGGGGCGAGUGGACUUCAACAGCACUUUUAUAGAAGCGGGAAACAGCUGUGAAACAGGAUCAAAAAUCUGUUCUGAACAUGCCUCAUGCAUCCGUGAAGAGGCAACUUAUUCCUGUAAGUGUAAGGAUGGAUUCUAUGACCACAGUCCCCGUGUACCAGGGAGAGAUUGCCAAGACAUAAAUGAAUGUGCUACUAACACGUCAUCAUGUUCACGCUUGGCCACAUGCAACAACACUGUAGGAAGUUAUGAAUGUAACUGUAAUCCAGGAAUAAAAGAUGGGAAUCCAACAAAUCCUGGAAGACAAUGUAAAGACCCUGUUCUCUGCUUCAGCAGUGCUAACCUUUGCUCAACACAAAAUAAUGACUGUCUUGACUCCAAAAAUCG